GCCAAUUCAUGGAAAGCUUUUGAGCCUUUCCUCCCAAAUCUGGCAAUAACGGUGCAUAAAGAUGUCAACCUAAACUGGCUUCGCUAAUCAUUGUUUUCUGAUAAUGUUAGAUUCAUACAUCUAAGAAUGUGUACAAUGUAUGCAUUUAAGUACGUAAACGAAUGUAUAGUCUAGGCUAUAUAAUUUAAGCCUAGGCUAUGAUCAAGGACAGAAAAUCAACGUACACACAAAUUUUAUUAUAAUUAUUGAUUGUGGUGAGUUUUUACAAUCAAUAAUUAAUGUCAGGAAAUAUCAGAAGGGCAA
rnacentral:misc_RNA from 1 species